rnacentral:rRNA from 1 species
CGCCUGUUUACCAAAAACAUGGCUUCGUGUAAAAGCUAAAUACGAAGUCGGACCUGCCCAGUGAAAUUUUAAACGGCCGCGGUACUCGACCGUGCAAAGGUAGCAUAAUCAUUUGCCUUAUAAUUGAAGGCUGGAAUGAAUGGUUUGACAAGAAUACAGCUGUCUCUUUUAGGUUGUUUAGAAUUUUAUUUUUGGAUGAAAAAGUCCAAAUAUUAUUAAAAGACAAGAAGACCCUAUCGAGCUUUAGAGAAAUUAAUAGAUUUAAUAUAAAUUAAUAUAAGUAAAAGACAUAGCUAUUAAAUACUUUGGUUGGGGCAACCGAGGAGUAAAUAAAGCCUCCUUUAUUUCGUGAGUCUUACUUGUGUUGAUCCAGAAAUUUUGAUCAAAGAAAUUAGUUACCGUAGGGAUAACAGCAUUAUCUUUUUUGAGAGCUCAUAUCGAAAAAAAGGUUUGUGACCUCGAUGUUGGACCAGAAUAUCCUAAAGAUGCAGAAGUCUUUAAGGGUUGGUCUGUUCGACCAUUAAAAUUCUACGUGAUCUGAGUUCAGACCGGGG